rnacentral:rRNA from 1 species
UACGAAGGGGGCUAGCGUUGCUCGGAAUCACUGGGCGUAAAGGGUGCGUAGGCGGGUCUUUAAGUCAGGGGUGAAAUCCUGGAGCUCAACUCCAGAACUGCCUUUGAUACUGAAGAUCUUGAGUUCAGGAGAGGUGAGUGGAACUGCGAGUGUAGAGGUGAAAUUCGUAGAUAUUCGCAAGAACACCAGUGGCGAAGGCGGCUCACUGGCCCGAUACUGACGCUGAGGUGCGAAAGCGUGGGGAGCAAACAGGG